rnacentral:rRNA from 1 species
GAUGAACGCUGGCGGCGUGCUUAACACAUGCAAGUCGAACGGAGUUUUAAAGUGGAAGUUUUCGGAUGGAAACUUUAAAACUUAGUGGCGGACGGGUGAGUAACGCGUGGGUAACCUGCCUCACACAGGGGGAUAACACUUAGAAAUAGGUGCUAAUACCGCAUAAGCGCACAGUACCGCAUGGUACCGUGUGAAAAACUCCGGUGGUGUGAGAUGGACCCGCGUCUGAUUAGCUAGUUGGUGAGGUAACGGGCCCACCAAGGCGACGAUCAGUAGCCGGCCUGAGAGGGUGAACGGCCACAUUGGGACUGAGACACGGCCCAAACUCCUACGGGAGGCAGCAGUGGGGAAUAUUGCACAAUGGGGGAAACCCUGAUGCAGCGACGCCGCGUGAGUGAAGAAGUAUUUCGGUAUGUAAAGCUCUAUCAGCAGGGAAGAAAAUGACGGUACCUGACUAAGAAGCCCCGGCUAACUACGUG